CCGACCGGGAGAGCCGACGCGGGCUUGCCGCAAGCUUCCCGCUGCCCGCGGAAGGCGGCCUCUGGGCUCCGGCCCUCGGGGGGAGGUGGGGGGCGGGUGGCGGCGCGGGCCCUGAGGUCGCGGCCCGCCAGCUCCCGGAGCUGCUGGCCGCCGCCGCAGCCGCCCCGCUGUCGAGUCGAGGAACUCCAGCGGUUUAGGGCUUCCGUGGUCUUUGCGGUCUGGGCCUCAUUCUCCCCGCAGGACUCGGCUCGUCUGCGAGCCUCACAUCGCCCCAAAGCCCACCCCUCCCCCCCCCGUCCGGGUCGCGGAUCCCGCGUCCCGACCGGUUGCUCAGCCUGAAUUUGGAAGUGAAACACCGGCCGGGCCGCCUGCGAUCCCUCCUCCCGAAGGCUGUGAACUCUUAGGAUGGGCGCCCAGUCCGCAAUUCAACAAGUCUUUAGGAGUAUUUUACUACAUACAGCGGUAACGUUUAACUGCCAUGACCAUACCGGUGGAAAGAGUACACACACUAAGACGAUGUUCGGUGAGAUCCAUUGUCUAGAAUUACUUUCUCAUUUUUAUCUGCGCAAGUAAUUCUAUAGAAUUAAAUAUAGCCGAUGGUGGUGAUUAACUCGGCCAGUCAGAAUUCAAACAAAUUAAACUAAAAAAGGUAUUUCAUCAAAACAGUGCUUCUCAUGUAAACUCAGAGUGUAAAUAGCGUUUCUAGGCACUGACCCCCAAUUUUAAUCCUCAUAAAAAGUAUUAAAGAAUAUACAGUUGAUUCGAUUAGAGUCAUACAUUUAAAAUCAGAUAACUGAUUAAUCAACAUUUGAGCAAUUUUUCAUGGAUGUUUCCUUUUUGUAUAUUCCCUUUGGAGGGGGAUUGGUUUUUUGUUGUUUUUUUUUUUUUCCUCAAUAAGGCACUCUGUUAAAACUGGUUUAGAGAUAUUUGCACCAUUAGGACCUCUAAAGGAUAAAAACUCUUCUAUGUUUGUAUUUCUUUAUUCAGGUACCAAAACAAUUGAAACAUUUUCUAUAAUUUAGAUAUCUUAAUCCAAAUUUGGAAUUAAGAUUUUUAAAUCCCUGCUAAUAUUUUAGGUAAACACCAUGUCAUUAAAGGAAAUGUAAAAUUUGCAACAAUGCAGUAAGCUGUGUUUCCUAUCAAAUUUAAGUGUACUGAAGAAUUACUGUGUGACUAGCAUUUAAAAAUAUUAGUUGAAUUUAACAGAUUGCUCAGCAUUUUUAUUUUCUUCUCUCAAAAAACAGAAAUUGUUCCAAUUUCUCACCGAACAUAUGAGUUGAAUAACUUCUGUGCAAUAAAGACAAAUGCUACCAUUAAACCA